UCUGCCUCUUCUUCGUCUCCAACGAUGCACUUCUGCUUAAACGUUUCUCAGGUUUUUCUUUUUCCCCAUUCUUGUUUCCUUUCAAGAUAGUGUUGUACAGUAUUAGCCAUAUUCUAUAUAGAUUCAAUUAGAGCAAACAUUCUUCUUUAGGAGGGAACAUUUGGUUUAUAAAAUCAACAAAUUUGAUCACGAAGAUUAUUAGUACUUAUUAUUAGUUUAGUGGGGGACAAAGCCACUAGAUUGUUAGAUUAAUUAACUGAGGGAACACUUCGAUUCGAAUCAAUUACAAAUGUUGAACGUUUCAUGUUCUUCUGCUAUGAAACAUAGAGACUCUACGUGUCGGUGUCACCGACGCUCAUGAUUACAUUGAAUUAUAUUAUUUUCUUAAAUUAUUAUCGGUGUCAUGUCAUCGUGUUAGUGUCGAGUUAAACAUGCUUCAUAAUUCUUCUGUACAUAAACAUAGGAUACACUAGUUUAACGCAAUUAGGAUAAUCAGUUUAUAGAUGGAAAUAUUUUUGGCUUAAUUACAUAUGUGGUCCUUUAUGUUUAUUUUACAUUUCAAUUUGGUCCCUUAAGUUUAAAAAGUUUCAAUUUAGUCCUUUUAGUCAAAUGUCAGUUUAAAUCAUUCAUGUAACUAACAAAUUUGCAUACGUGGACAACUUGGGAGGGUGUCAAAUGGAAGUUUUAGACGAAAUUAAGCUAAAGAUUUUGCACUGCCACUUAUUGAUAAUGAUUAGAAAACACUUAAUAUUACAAUACAUAGACAACCAAAGAAGGAUAAAAUAACCAAAGGCACACAAACUACUGAUAACACGAAACAAGAUUGUUUAGUUGCGCUUAACUGUGAUAGGACUCCUUACAAUGUGUUUUCCAUCUGUCCAUUGUAAAUUUCCAAAUUGAUAUUUCCUCCGUGGAGUUACAUUUGUUGCCUGCACAAUUACCUGAAAUGUCUUUUUUUCACCAAUUUUCUUGAAAGUCAAGGAAUUUGGUACAACGGCAAUUUUAUAUCCAGGCAAUUGGGCUUUUGCUACAUAUGUGCUUGGCGACCCAACAUUGGUGACUGUCCGAGUGACAUUUACGACAUUUAACUCAAGAUUCGGUAACGUGAUUGAAGGGUAGUUAAAGUCUUCUAUGCUGUGAGAUCCGGAACAAAUAAAUGUACCGUUGAAAUUAAGUGCUGAAAUGAGUUGUUGGUUGUAUCCAUAAGCACAUAGGAAAUUCAAGUAAUCCUUAAUGCCUAGAUCAUAAACAAGUCCAGGAUCUAUUGCAAGGUCAGGUUGAACAUGCCCUGAACCAUAAGCAAAGGGAGUUGCUAGUUUUUUUUCAAAUGCAUCCUGAAUUGGCCUGUUUGUGUUAUCUAGUGUGGUUGCUGUAAGGAUAUAUAAUUAAGUUAGAAAUCUUGUCGUUAUUAGAGAGUAUAUGUAUUGUGUGUGUACGUGUGUGUACCUGUGGUCAUGAUAGCCGAUUUAAUAGCUGCUGGACUCCAAUUAGGAUGCUUUGUUUUGAGAAGUCCUGCAAUGCCGGCCACAUGAGGGCAAGACAUAGAAGUUCCUUGCAUAACAUUGAAUGGAAAUCCUUUGCGAUUGUCUGUUACUAAGUUGGAUGCACUUGCAAACAAUGAAUAGGCAGCAAGUAUGUUCACACCUGGUGCAGUUACAUCAGGCUGAAACAGAAAACAAAUUAAAAACCCCAUUGAAAAAAAUAAAGACAAAUAAGGAGAAUUAUACUAUAGGUAGUUGAUCACUAGUCAACUUGUAUAUAUAUACCUUGAGUAUUGAUGGCUGAAUCUUAUUUGGUCCUCUAGAUGAGAAUGAAGCCAUUACUGGAGCUGGCUUUCUUCCGUAGAAUGUUUUUGCUCCUGAAAACUUUAUUGUAGUACCCGACUUUAAUUUAGAGUCCCUGCAAUUAUAAAUAUACUAUGUAAAUGGUUGGAGCCUUUCAUCUGUAACAUGUCAACAAAUGAGUAACUUUAAAAGACUAUGUGUGUUUGUUUGAGUGAGGAAGAGUAAGACAUAUAUAUAAUCAAUUACAUGGAAGUUAUGUCAAAAGCAGGAGCAUGUGACCCUGCACGUUCUGGUGCAGCAGGAGGGUGGUACUUGCUUUCAGUUUGUGGCCUUGUAACACAAGACAAAACAUGAGGCUCAGCAAGACUAGUUUUCCCUUGUUGUGGUCGAUUGCUCAAAAGCAUUCCCUUUGCACCUGCUGUUAAAGCUGCCUGACCCUCAGCAACUGAUUUUAUAUUUCCUUCUCGAUCACAUCCCACUAUUUUGCCCUUCACUUUUGAAGGAUCAAGUGUUCCAGGCCUACAAAGUCGUCUGCAACAACAAAUACAUAUAAAAAUAAUGUAAGAAAUCCUUAUUUAAUUAAUAAGUACGUUAUUUUAAAGUAGAUCAUUUGAGUUAGACUUGUACUUACGCAUCACGAUUUGUUGCAUUGGCAAGUUUACCAUCCGUAGCAAGAAUUAGAGAAAAUGCCUGGUUUGGUGGCAAGUUUACAAAAAGACUGGCUCCCUAUAAUACAAAAUAGAGAUCAGUUAUUACAAAUUUAAUCAACAUAUAAGUUAAUUAAAACAACAAUAAGAAGAAGAAUCAGAAACAGGAUGACAUAUACCGUCACUUGUUGACUGUUACCAAAAGUUAUAGUACUACUGAAGUCUCUGUCUAAUGUACUAGCAGCAAUUGUGAAUACCCAUGGAGCUAUAUUCACAACGCUUCCUAGGGUUGGUCCGUCAUUCCCCGCAGAGGCAACUACUAAUAUGUUUCUAGAAAGUGCAUGGAAUGCACCUAUUGAAACCUCGUCUGUGAAAAUAUCUUCAGGAUGGACAAGAUAUUGGCCAGCAGCUGAAAGUGAGAUUAUAUCUACACCAUCACUAAUGGCUUGGUCAAUAGCAGCUAACACAUCGGCUCCAAAGCAGUCAGCAACAUCUGUUAGAGACCAGCACACUUUGUAUGUGGCAACUCUAGCUCUAGGCGAACCUCCUUUUACAGUACCAUUGCCAAUAGCAAAUAUACUUGCACCUGGAACAAAGUUUCCACCAGCCGUUGAUAAGGUAUGAGUACCGUGACCUACAAAGUCACGUGCGGUAAGUAGUGAUGGGUGGAGCUUGCCAUUAUAUGCCUCGAAAGCGUUGCUGAAGAAUCUGGCUCCAAUUAGCUUCCUGUUUAUACAUAGCGAGAUUAAUUAACCUGAUAGAGGAAGUAUGGGAGAGUAGUUGCCUACCUAUCUUCUGUUGGUUUAGUUGCCACUGGUGUUACUAGAAAUAUAUAAGCUUGUUAGUUCUCUAUUAGCAUUAUAUAUAGAUGAUCUCAUUUGCCAUAUUUUAAUCAAUAAAUGUAAUAUCUAAGAAGUUUUUAUUUCUGUUGUGGUUUGCAUCAGGUGUAUAAUGUUGAUGCAAUAUUGUAAUGAUGGGUUUGCAUACCAAAACCCCAAUAUUAUCUGAACUUGUGCUGCACACCUUGUGCUUAUAUUGAUGUCAACAUGUCAAGAUUAUAUAGAAAAAUGUUGUAAACAAGAUCAGGAGAAAAGAACCUG
rnacentral:lncRNA from 1 species